rnacentral:tRNA from 1 species
GGAGAAGUGGUCGAGCGGUUUAAGGCAAUGCUCUUGAAAAGCAUCGGGGUUCAUAGCCUCCGUGGGUUCGAAUCCCACCUUCUCCGCCA